rnacentral:rRNA from 1 species
UGUGACAUACCUAUACGUUGCCUCGGCGGAUCAGCCCGCGCCCCGUAAAACGGGACGGCCCGCCCGAGGACCCUAAACUCUGUUUUUAGUGGAACUUCUGAGUAAAACAAACAAAUAAAUCAAAACUUUCAACAACGGAUCUCUUGGUUCUGGCAUCGAUGAAGAACGCAGCAAAAUGCGAUAAGUAAUGUGAAUUGCAGAAUUCAGUGAAUCAUCGAAUCUUUGAACGCACAUUGCGCCCGCCAGUAUUCUGGCGGGCAUGCCUGUUCGAGCGUCAUUUCAACCCUCAAGCUCAGCUUGGUGUUGGGACUCGCGGUAACCCGCGUUCCCCAAAUCGAUUGGCGGUCACGUCGAGCUUCCAUAGCGUAGUAAUCAUACACCUCGUUACUGGUAAUCGUCGCGGCCACGCCGUAAAACCCCAACUUCUGAAUGUUGACCUCGGAUCAGGUAGGAAUACCCGCUGAACUUAAGCAUAUCAAUAAGCGGAGGAAGG